GGCGAAAUAGUUUAGAUGGAUAGAACAUUGGGAUCAUAAUCCAAGAGCCGUAGGUUCGAGUCCUACUUUCGCUA
rnacentral:tRNA from 1 species